rnacentral:rRNA from 1 species
GUAUAUGGCCAUACCACCCUGAACUUGUCUGAUCUCGGAUCUUCGAAGCUAAGCAGGGUCAGUCCUGGUUAGUACUUGGAUGAGAUUCUGCCUGGGAAUACCAGAUGCUGUAGGCU